UACAGAGGUCUCAAGCGUUGUUCGGAUUCAUUGGGCGUAAGGGUGUGUAGGUGGCGCCGUAAGUCGGGUGUGAAAUUUCGGAGCUUAACUCCCGAAACUGCAUUCGAUACUGCGGUGCUUGAGGACUGGAGAGGAGACUGGAAUUCAUGGUGUAGCAGUGAAAUGCGUAGAGAUCAUGAGGAAGACCAGUGGCGAAGGCGGGUCUCUGGACAGUUCCUGACACUGAGACACGAAGGCCAGGGGAGC
rnacentral:rRNA from 1 species